CCACCCCCAUUUUCCCCACUUACCCAGGCAGGGCGCGUCCAGGCCUAGGAUAGACAGACUGACAGCUCCAUUUCAGAAAUGCCAGGAGAGACGACCCCCGACACCCAGAUACUUUGCCGCCGUGACAGUGGACUGGCAUUUCGGAAGAUCUUGGGAAAAUCCUUAAAGAAAAAUCUCAGUAUAGAUAACUGAGAGAAAAUGACGGAUGUUUCUCCUUUGGACUGGAAGUAUACAAGGUGUUAUUCCAGAUCCACUGGAGGAGGUUCUCGAAACUUAUUUGCUUCCUUGCCCUGAAGUGCUGACAGCGAUAAAAGGUGUAGAGAAGUCACAUAAAGUGUUGCACUUUAACUUUGGGUUUGGGUAAAAUUCUGGCUUCUAGUAAUGUAGAUGAACUGUGUAUUUGAAAAGGAAGGGUGAGUGGUUGUCAGGAAGUGCCACAUAAAGCAUAAUCAUAUGUUUCUUGGACGUUAUAAAUGCACUAUGUUUAUUUUUGUCUUUCAAAUAUAUUCACUUAUGCAACUGCUGUUGGCUCUUACAUUUUGUGUCUUUUAGAUUAAAACUGUAUUUAUGAUCCAACAGGAUGUCAAAUAUAAUAUGGCUCUCAUUACAAGAAUCCAUAACACAGUACAAAUUGUGCUAUUUGGAAAAUUAAUAACUAUAUCUAUGUAAAACCUGAUAUAAAAUAGAUUACAAGUCACGUGCUAAUCCUAUUUCUUACAACAGAUAUUUCAAUAAUGUAAAAGACUAUGUCCUGACUUUGUAAGAUGGUCUUUGAUGAAAAACAAAUAAGUACAGGGAAUGAAGAGUUAAAUUAAAUUAUGCCACCUUAAAAUCUAGAAUCACAAUGGAGGGUUACUUCCACUUUUUAUUUCACAAGAUUCACUAUGUUUAGCGAAAUACAAGUUUUCUUGUUUUAUAAACUUUGUGUGCCCUGCUUUGUGUGGUCUUUUUCUCUCCUAAUAUCUUAUCAAUUAUUUCCUGCAUUAAACACCUUUCUACAUUAUUUUACACAACAGCUUCAAGGUUAGUGUUAUAACAGAAAUAUGUUAACCAUAUAUAUAAUUUAAAAUUUUUUAAAACUUAACCUUUAAAAAAAAUAAAAAGAAACAAGAUACUAUUAUUUUAACUAAU
rnacentral:lncRNA from 13 species